UACGAAGGGGGGCUAGCGUUGUCCGGAAUCAUUGGGCGUAAAGCGCGCGUAGGCGGCCAGACAAGUCCGGUGUGAAAGUCACAAGGCUCAACCUGUGAAUGCCGCUGGGAAAACUGUCCUGGCUAGAGUCCGGGAAGGGGCGAGUGGAAAGUUCCUGGUGGUAGCGGUGAAAUGCGCAGAUAAUCAGGAGGAACACCUAUGGCGAAGGCAGCUCGCUGGGACGGUACUGACGCUGGAGGCGCGAAAAGCGUGGGAGCAAACAGG
rnacentral:rRNA from 1 species